CUGCCGAUCUCUGAGACGUGCCCUGCUGACAGCUGAGAAGAACUCUGAUCGUGCACGCAGAGACUACGCCGAGUUGCUGCAAACUUGGCAGAAUUAUGAAAAUUCCAACGACGCUGGUGAGCAGACAUUUGUACAUGUGGAACAGCAGUCGGGCGCAGCCGCUUGGCGUGAUGCCGAGAGGAUGAAACGCCAGUCAGAGAGGCAGGCACAGGAACUGGCAGAACGCAGAGCCAGAUCGAGGUGCUGCGGCAGGAAGUGGAGCACCUCAAGAAGGACUUGGAGCUACUGCCUCCUCUCCAGGCACAGGUGGAGGUGUACCGCACGGACUACGAUACGGAGCGAAAUCUGCGCCGGCAGCUGGAGACUACGGUGCAGCAGCAUCUGAACACCAUCGAGGAGCUCCGUGAGCAGAUCAAUGCCCUGCAGGAACCACCACCAGAGCUGAGGAGUAGCCACAGCAGCAACAGUAGCAACCAGAGGUCUUCCGAGUCUAACUCUGCAUCUGCACAGCAAACUAGUGCUCAAGCAAUGGAAUCGCUGUUGCCGUGUCCUCUGUGCAUGGAGGUUUGUUCAACACGCUCGCUCUACAUUGCCCACGUUCAGAGCUGCGCUGAUGGCCAGGAAGUGCGCUAGAAUUGAACUCCAUCAAGCACACAUGCCAGGAUGGGAGCCACCAGCGUAACUCCUCCUU
rnacentral:lncRNA from 1 species